AGCUGUUCAAAGAGGACACCCUGAAGGAGCUGUACAACUCCAAGGACAAGCAGCGUCUGACCUACGUCAAGUGGCUACGGCGGAAGACACCGCAGCCUGGGAGCUCCAUGGAUGUCGCCAUUAAGUACAUCUCGGGCCGAGACAAGGAGCGGUCGGCGGAGGCGGCUGCUACACCCCCUCCGCCCGCCAGCAGCAGCGGCCCCAGCACCUCCACCAGCAAGGCCGCUGCUUCCACCGUGCUGCCGCCCCGUAAGCCGACCGCUCCCAAUUUCUCGGCCCUUGUGCCGGGCGUCCGAUGGUCCCAGGGGAGCUGCAGGCCCAGAUCAGGAAACUGAUGACCCCACCAGCACGGCCUGGCAACUUAAGGACAAGAUAUGGUGCCCAGAAGGGGAUGCUGUAUGGAGCGACAGCGCUGGACCCGCGUUUUAAGGCCCUCCUCUCCCUGACUGCUGAAGAGCAAGAUGAGGUAUUUUCC